rnacentral:rRNA from 1 species
AUUGAACGCUGGCGGCAUGCUUUACACAUGCAAGUCGAACGGUAACAGGCCUUCGGGUGCUGACGAGUGGCGAACGGGUGAGUAAUGCAUCGGAACGUACCCAGAGGUGGGGGAUAACGCAGCGAAAGCUGUGCUAAUACCGCAUGUGAUCUGAGGAUGAAAGCGGGGGACCGAGCAGCAAUGUUUGGCCUCGCGCCUUUGGAGCGGCCGAUGUCGGAUUAGCUAGUUGGUGGGGUAAAGGCCUACCAAGGCGACGAUCCGUAGCUGGUCGGAGAGGACGACCAGCCACACUGGGACUGAGACACGGCCCAGACUCCUACGGGAGGCAGCAGUGGGGAAUUUUGGACAAUGGGCGCAAGCCUGAUCCAGCAAUGCCGCGUGCGGGAAGAAGGCCUUCGGGUUGUAAACCGCUUUUGGCAGGAACGAAACGGUGUCCGCUAAUACCGGGCGCUAAUGACGGUACCUGCAGAAUAAGCACCGGCUAACUACGUG